AACGAACGCUGGCGGCAGGCUUAACACAUGCAAGUCGAGCGCCCCGCAAGGGGAGCGGCAGACGGGUGAGUAACGCGUGGGAAUCUACCCAUCUCUACGGAAUAACGCAUGGAAACGUGUGCUAAUACCGUAUACGUCCUUCGGGAGAAAGAUUUAUCGGAGAUGGAUGAGCCCGCGUUGGAUUAGCUAGUUGGUGGGGUAAAGGCCUACCAAGGCGACGAUUCAUAGCUGGUCUGAGAGGAUGAUCAGCCACACUGGGACUGAGACACGGCCCAGACUCCUACGGGAGGCAGCAGUGGGGAAUAUUGGACAAUGGGCGCAAGCCUGAUCCAGCCAUGCCGCGUGAGUGAUGAAGGCCCUAGGGUUGUAAAGCUCUUUCACCGGUGAAGAUAAUGGCGGUAACCGGAGAAGAAGCCCCGGCUAACUUCGUGCCAGCAGCCGCCGUAACAC
rnacentral:rRNA from 1 species